UACGAAGGGGGCUAGCGUUACUCGGAAUUACUGGGCGUAAAGGGCGCGUAGGCGGCGCUCCAAGUUAGGCGUGAAAGUCCUGGGCUCAACCUGGAACUGCGCUUGAUACUGGAGUGCUUGAGGAUGGAAGAGGGUUGUGGAAUUCCCAGUGUAGAGGUGAAAUUCGUAGAUAUUGGGAAGAACACCGGUGGCGAAGGCGGCAACCUGGUCCAUUACUGACGCUGAGGCGCGACAGCGUGGGGAGCAAACAGG
rnacentral:rRNA from 1 species